GAUGAACGCUAGCUACAGGCUUAACACAUGCAAGUCGAGGGACCGGCGCACGGGUGAGUAACACGUAUCCCACCUGCCCUUUACUCGGGGAUAGCCGUUCGAAAGAAAGAUUCAUACCCGAUAUAAAGGAUGGGGAUGCGUUCCAUUAGGUUGUUGGUGAGGUAAAGGCUCACAAAGCCUUAGAUGGAUAGGGGUUCUGAGAGGAAGGUCGCUCACAUUAGAACUGACACAAGGUCCAACAUCCAACAGGAGGCAGCAGAGAGGAAGAGUGGUCAAUGGGCGCAAGCCCGAACCACCCAAGUGGAGUGUAGGAUGAAGGAAUAUGGGUCGUUAACUUCAUUUAUAUACGUGUAUGUAUUAUAUUAAUGAUGGUCGGAUAACUCCGUGCCAGCAACCGCGGUAAUUC
rnacentral:rRNA from 1 species